UCUUUGUUGUUACAGUGUGGUACUGGGAUUUCUACAUGCUGCCCUUGUUCAUGGUCCUUCUCAUCGUAUGGAACUAUCUCCAGAUCGCCUCUGAGAGAGUCACCAGAGAUCUAGACACCAUGGAGUUAUAUGAAGAGGAAGAUGAAGAUGAAAAGGAAUCUGAAAGAAAAGGUCUGAUGGAGAAAAUUCACAUGGUUCAAGAGAUUGUCAUUACGGUCCAGAACCUUCUGGAGGAGAUUGCAUGCUUUGGAGAAAGAAU